GGCCUGUUUUGCCAUCAAUAAAACCAUCACUCAUCUCCUACCUGGGUCUGCUGCGUUCUCUCUCACCACCAUCACCCGGAUUUCAUGACAGACACUCUUUAAACUAAAUGCAUAGGUUUUUCUCCAGGUGCUCCGGUUUUUCCUUUAGGAAAAAAAGUGAUUAGAUUAAUUAAUCUCUUAAUCUUACCUCUGUGUCUCACUCACUGACUGUUCACAAAGGAUAUGAACUUAUCUAUUUCAGAUUCUUAA